rnacentral:rRNA from 1 species
UACGGAGGGUGCGAGCGUUGUCCGGAAUCAUUGGGCGUAAAGGGCGCGUAGGUGGCCCGGUCAGUUCGUGGUGAAAGCGCGGGGCUCAACCCUGCGUCGGCCAUGAAUACUGCCGCGGCUGGAGCACUGUAGAGGCAGGCGGAAUUCCGGGUGUAGCGGUGGAAUGCGUAGAGAUCCGGAAGAACACCGGUGGCGAAGGCGGCCUGCUGGGCAGUUGCUGACGCUGAGAAGCGAAAGCAUGGGGAGCGAACAGG